UAUAUUUGCCGCUCGAAAGAUAAGCUUUCGUGUACAUAACAAUCAUUUACAAUAAUAUUAGAAUG
rfam:Lacinutrix sp. 5H-3-7-4, complete genome.